rnacentral:rRNA from 1 species
UGCCAGCAGCCGCGGUAAUACGGAGGGUCCGAGCGUUAUCCGGAAUCAUUGGGUUUAAAGGGUUCGCAGGCGGUCAAUUAAGUCAGAGGUGAAAUCCCAUCGCUUAACGAUGGCACUGCCUUUGAUACUGUUGAGCUUGAGUUAUAUGGAAGUAGAUAGAAUAUGUAGUGUAGCGGUGAAAUGCAUAGAUAUUACAUAGAAUACCGAUUGCGAAGGCAGUCUACUACGUAUAUACUGACGCUGAUGAACGAAAGCGUGGGGAGUGAACGGGAUUAGAUA